UCGCCUGUUUAUCAAAAACAUAACUGCAGGUAAUUUUCUGCAGCUAUUUCUGCUCCAUGUGGAAAUAAAUAGCCGCAGUACCCUGACUGUGCUAAGGUAGCAUAAUCAAUAGGCUUAUAAUUUAAGUCUUGUAUGAAGGAAAAUUUGGGGGUACACUGUCUCUGGGGAAAUUUUUGAAUUUUUUUAAAAAGUGCAAAAACUUUUAUAUAAACAUUAGACGAGAAGACCCUAGAAAUUUUUUGACCAUUUUGUUGGGGCGACAAAGUAACAAUUUAACUUACUAGUAUUUAUUUGAAGUGUUCUUUACAGGAUAAAUAAAUUACUCUAGGGAUAACAGCAUAAUUUAACAAAGUUUGNGACCUCGAUGUUGGACUAGGNNUGAUUAAGUUUAGAAGAUUUAAGUUAUAGCUCUGUUCGAGCAUAUUUCACCUACAUGAUCUGGAUUCAGACCGGA
rnacentral:rRNA from 1 species